rnacentral:rRNA from 1 species
GCUUGGCGGGUGCUACCAUGCAAGUCGAACGUGAUCCGCCCUUCGGGGUGGUGAAAGUGGCGCACGGGUGAGUAACGCGUGGAUAAUCUGCCCGAGGAUUUGGGAUAACAUCUCGAAAGGGGUGCUAAUACCGAAUAAGCCCACGGGGUCUACGGAUCUUGCGGGAAAAGGGGGGGACCUUCGGGCCUCCUGUCCUUGGAUGAGUCUGCGUACCAUUAGCUAGUUGGUGGGGUAAUGGCCUACCAAGGCGACGAUGGUUAGCUGGUCUGAGAGGAUGAUCAGCCACACUGGAACUGAGACACGGUCCAGACUCCUACGGGAGGCAGCAGUGGGGAAUUUUGCGCAAUGGGGGAAACCCUGACGCAGCAACGCCGCGUGGGUGAUGAAGGCCUUCGGGUCGUAAAGCUCUGUCUGGAGGGAAGAAAUGAUUGGGAGCUAAUACCUCUUGAUCUUGACGGUACCUCUGAAGGAAGCACCGGCUAACUCCGUGCCAGCAGCCGCGGUAAUACGGAGGGUGCAAGCGUUGUUCGGAAUUAUUGGGCGUAAAGCGCGUGUAGGCGGUCUUUUAAGUCUGAUGUGAAAGCCCCGGGCUCAACCUGGGAAGUGCAUUGGAAACUGGGAGGCUUGAGUACGGGAGAGGAGAGUGGAAUUCCUAGUGUAGGAGUGAAAUCCGUAGAUAUUAGGAGGAACACCGGUGGCGAAGGCGGCUCUCUGGACCGAUACUGACGCUGAGACGCGAAAGCGUGGGUAGCAAACAGGAUUAGAUACCCUGGUAGUCCACGCCGUAGACGAUGAGUACUAGUGUUGCGGUAUUGACCCC